UACGGGGGGGCAAGCGUUGUUCGGAAUUACUGGGCGUAGAGGGUUCGUAGGUGGCCAACUAAGUCAGACGUGAAAUCCCUCGGCUUAACCGGGGAACUGCGUCUGAUACUGGAUGGCUUGAGGUUGGGAGAGGGAUGCGGAAUUCCAGGUGUAGCGGUGAAAUGCGUAGAUAUCUGGAGGAACACCGGUGGCGAAGGCGGGUCUCUGGACAGUUCCUGACGCUGAGGCACGAAGGCCAGGGGAGCAAACGGG
rnacentral:rRNA from 1 species